rnacentral:rRNA from 1 species
UACGAACUGCGCGAACGUUAUUCGGAAUCACUGGGCUUAAAGCGUGUGUAGGCGGGUCGUUAAGUACCUUGUGAAAUCCCAUGGCUCAACCAUGGAACUGCUGGGUAUACUGGCGAUCUUGUGCAACCUAGGGGCGAGCGGAACAGAUGGUGGAGCGGUGAAAUGCGUAGAUAUCAUCUGGAACGCCAAUGGUGAAAACAGCUCGCUGGGGGUUUGCAGACGCUGAGACACGAAAGCCAGGGGAGCGAACGGG